CCUACGGGUGGCAGCAGUGAGGAAUAUUGGUCAAUGGACGGAAGGCUGAACCAGCCAUGCCGCGUGCGGGAAGACUGCUCUAUGGGUUGUAAACUGCUUUUGUAAGAGGAUAAAACUUGAUACGUGUAUUAAGCUGCCAGUACUGUAUGAAUAAGCAUCGGCUAACUCCGUGCCAGCAGCCGCGGUAAUACGGAGGAUACCAGCGUUAUCCGGAUUUAUUGGGGUUAAAGGGUGCGUUGGCGGAUUGAUAAGUUAGGUGUUAAAUGUCCGAGCUUACCUCGGGAAUUGCCUCUAAUACUGGUGAUCUAGAGAGUAGACGAGGUAGGCGGAAUGAGUUGUGUAGCGGUGAAAUGCUUAGAGAUCACAUAGAACACCGAUUGCGAAGGCAGCUUACCAGUCUAUAACUGACGCUGAGGCACGAAAGCGUGGGGAGCAAACAGGAUUAGAUACCCCUGUAGUC
rnacentral:rRNA from 1 species